UACGUAGGGGCAAGCGUUGUCCGGAUUUAUUGGGCGUAAAGAGCUCGUAGGCGGCUUAGCAAGUCGGGUGUGAAACCUCCAGGCUCAACCUGGAGCUGCCACUCGAUACUGCUAUGGCUUGAGUCCGGUAGGGGACCACGGAAUUCCUGGUGUAGCGGUGAAAUGCGCAGAUAUCAGGAGGAACACCAGUGGCGAAGGCGGUGGUCUGGGCCGGAACUGACGCUGAGGAGCGAAAGCGUGGGUAGCAAACAGG
rnacentral:rRNA from 1 species